GUUUCUGUAGCAUAGUGCUUAUUAUGUUUGCCUAACACGCAAAAGAUCCUCAGUUCAAAACCAGGUAGAAACA